UUCGCCCUUAGAGUUUGAUCCUGGCUCAGGACGAACGCUGGCGGCGUGCCUAACACAUGCAAGUCGAACGAAGCCUUCGGGCUUAGUGGCGGACGGGUGAGUAACGCGUGAACAAUCUGCCCUGUACAGAGGAAUAGCCUCGGGAAACCGGGAAUAAAACCUCAUAACACUUCAUAGCCGCAUGGCUGAGAAGUCAAAUCGAAUAAGAGGUAUGGGAUGAGUUCGCGUCUGAUUAGCUAGUUGGUGAGGUAACAGCUCACCAAGGCGACGAUCAGUAGCCGGCCUGAGAGGGUGAACGGCCACACUGGAACUGAGACACGGUCCAGACUCCUACGGGAGGCAGCAGUGGGGAAUAUUGCACAAUGGAGGGAACUCUGAUGCAGCGACGCCGCGUGAGUGAAGAAGGUCUUCGGAUCGUAAAACUCUGUCCUUGGUGAAGAUAAUGACGGUAGCCAAGGAGGAAGCCCCGGCUAACUACGUGCCAGCAGCCGCGGUAAUACGUAGGGGGCUAGCGUUGUCCGGAUUUACUGGGCGUAAAGGGUGAGUAGGCGGUUAUGUAUGUCAGAUGUAAAAGGCGCGGGCUUAACUUGCGUUAGCAUUUGAAACUGCAUAACUUGAGUGCAGGAGAGGUAAGCGGAAUUCCUAGUGUAACGGUGAAAUGCGUAGAUAUUAGGAGGAACACCGGUGGCGAAGGCGGCUUACUGGACUGUAACUGACGCUGAGUCACGAAAGCGUGGGUAGCAAACAGGAUUAGAUACCCUGGUAGUCCACGCUGUAAACGAUGAGUGCUAGGUGUUGGGUAGCGAUACUCAGUGCCGCAGUAAACACAAUAAGCACUCCGCCUGGGGAGUACGUACGCAAGUAUGAAACUCAAAGGAAUUGACGGGGACCCGCACAAGCAGCGGAGCAUGUGGUUUAAUUCGAAGCAACGCGAAGAACCUUACCAAGGCUUGACAUCCCCUUGACAGAUGCAGAGAUGUGUCCUCCCCUUCGGGGGCAAGGGAGACAGGUGGUGCAUGGUUGUCGUCAGCUCGUGUCGUGAGAUGUUGGGUUAAGUCCCGCAACGAGCGCAACCCUUAUCCUUAGUUGCCAGCAUGUAAUGGCGGGCACUCUAAGGAGACUGCCGGUGAUAAACCGGAGGAAGGUGGGGAUGACGUCAAAUCAUCAUGCCCCUUAUGUCUUGGGCUACACACGUGCUACAAUGGUCGGUACAACGGGCAGCGAAGAAGCGAUUUGGAGCGAAUCCCAAUAAACCGAUCCCAGUUCGGAUUGCAGGCUGCAACUCGCCUGCAUGAAGUCGGAGUUGCUAGUAAUCGCGAAUCAGAACGUCGCGGUGAAUGCGUUCCCGGGUCUUGCACUCACCGCCCGUCA
rnacentral:rRNA from 1 species